GACGAACGCUGGCGGCGUGCCUAAUACAUGCAAGUCGAACGCAGUGGGGACGGGUGAGUAACCCGUGGGUAACCUCCCAUCAGAGGGGAUAACACUUGGAAACAGGUGCUAAACCGAUACUGAUGGAUGGACCCGCGGUGCAUUAGCUAGUUGGUGAGGUAACGGCUCACCAAGGCCACGAUGCAUAGCCGACCAGAGAGGGGGAUCGGCCAAACUGGGCAUUAGAAACGGCCCAUCAUCCUACGGGAGGCAGCAGUGGGGAAGCUUCGGCAAUGGACGAAAGUCUGACCGAGCAACGCCGCGUGGGUGAAGAAGGUUUUCGGAGCGUAAAACUCUGUUGUUAGAGAAGCGGUAUCUAACCAGAAAGCCACGGCUAACUACGUGCCAGCAGCCGCGGUAAUAC
rnacentral:rRNA from 1 species